rnacentral:misc_RNA from 1 species
UGAACUGGCCGCUAUAAUAAAAGAAUAAAAGAAGCCUGUAAAGUCCCACUGCCAAGGAUAUGGGCUUAAUCGACCACGGUGCUCUACUGCGGAUUGGUGGGUACAUUCUCUUCCAAACAGGAAAAAAAUAUUUUUACAAAGACAAGUAUCCAUUCCGAGCGGGAAUCCAAUCUGCAAACCGCUGAUGUUUUAGGUGCCUAGACGUUAC